CCUACGGGAGGCAGCAGUGGGGGAUAUUGCACAAUGGAGGGAACUCUGAUGCAGCGACGCCGCGUGAGGGAAGAAGGUUUUCGGAUUGUAAACCUCUGUCUUCGGUUACGAAACGAGACGAUAGCCGAGUAGGAAGCCACUGCUAACUACGUUCCAGCAGCCCCGGUAAUACUUAGGUGGCAAGCGUUGUCCGGAAUUACUGGGUGGAAAGGGAGCGUAGACGGCCAGACAAGUCAGAAGUGAAAGCCCAGGGCUCAACGCUGGGACUGCUUUAGAAACUGCCGGGCUGGAGUGCAGGAGAGGUUAGCGGAAUUCCUAGUGUAGCGGUGAAAUGCGUAGAUAUUAGGAGGAACACCAGUGGCGAAGGCGGCUUACUGGACUGUAACUGACAUUGAUGCUCGAAAGUGUGGGUAUCAAACAGGAUUAGAUACCCGUGUAGUC
rnacentral:rRNA from 1 species